GUCUGAAUAUGGGGGGACCAUCCUCCAAGGCUAAAUACUCCUGACUGACCGAUAGUGAACCAGUACCGUGAGGGAAAGGCGAAAAGAACCCCGGCGAGGGGAGUGAAAAAGAACCUGAAACCGUGUACGUACAAGCAGUGGGAGCACCUUCGGGUGUGACUGCGUACCUUUUGUAUAAUGGGUCAGCGACUUAUAUUCUGUAGCAAGGUUAACCGUAUAGGGGAGCCGCAGGGAAACCGAGUCUUAACUGGGCGUUAAGUUGCAGGGUAUAGACCCGAAACCCGGUGAUCUAGCCAUGGGCAGGUUGAAGGUUGGGUAACACUAACUGGAGGACCGAACCGACUAAUGUUGAAAAAUUAGCGGAUGACUUGUGGCUGGGGGUGAAAGGCCAAUCAAACCGGGAGAUAGCUGGUUCUCCCCGAAAGCUAUUUAGGUAGCGCCUCGUGAACUCAUCUUCGGGGGUAGAGCACUGUUUCGGCUAGGGGGUCAUCCCGACUUACCAACCCGAUGCAAACUACGAAUACCGAAGAAUGUUAUCACGGGAGACACACGGCGGGUGCUAACGUCCGUCGUGAAGAGGGAAACAACCCAGACCGCCAGCUAAGGUCCCAAAGUCAUGGUUAAGUGGGAAACGAUGUGGGAAGGCACAGACAGCCAGGAUGUUGGCUUAGAAGCAGCCAUCAUUUAAAGAAAGCGUAAUAGCUCACUGGUCGAGUCGGCCUGCGCGGAAGAUGUAACGGGGCUAAACCAUGCACCGAAGCUGCGGCAGCGACACUAUGUGUUGUUGGGUAGGGGAGCGUUCUGUAAGCCUGCGAAGGUGACCUGUGAGGGUUGCUGGAGGUAUCAGAAGUGCGAAUGCUGACAUAAGUAACGAUAAAGCGGGUGAAAAGCCCGCUCGCCGGAAGACCAAGGGUUCCUGUCCAACGUUAAUCGGGGCAGGGUGAGUCGACCCCUAAGGCGAGGCCGAAAGGCGUAGUCGAUGGGAAACAGGUUAAUAUUCCUGUACUUGGUGUUACUGCGAAGGGGGGACGGAGAAGGCUAUGUUAGCCGGGCGACGGUUGUCCCGGUUUAAGCAUGUAGGCUGGUUAUCCAGGCAAAUCCGGAUAAUCAAGGCUGAGGUGUGAUGACGAGGCACUACGGUGCUGAAGUAACAAAUGCCCUGCUUCCAGGAAAAGCCUCUAAGCAUCAGGUAACAUCAAAUCGUACCCCAAACCGACACAGGUGGUCAGGUAGAGAAUACCAAGGCGCUUGAGAGAACUCGGGUGAAGGAACUAGGCAAAAUGGUGCCGUAACUUCGGGAGAAGGCACGCUGGUGUGUAGGUGAAGCCCCUGCGGGUGGAGCUGAGACCAGUCGAAGAUACCAGCUGGCUGCAACUGUUUAUUAAAAACACAGCACUGUGCAAACACGAAAGUGGACGUAUACGGUGUGACGCCUGCCCGGUGCCGGAAGGUUAAUUGAUGGGGUUAUCCGUAAGGAGAAGCUCUUGAUCGAAGCCCCGGUAAACGGCGGCCGUAACUAUAACGGUCCUAAGGUAGCGAAAUUCCUUGUCGGGUAAGUUCCGACCUGCACGAAUGGCGUAAUGAUGGCCAGGCUGUCUCCACCCGAGACUCAGUGAAAUUGAACUCGCUGUGAAGAUGCAGUGUACCCGCGGCAAGACGGAAAGACCCCGUGAACCUUUACUAUAGCUUGACACUGAACAUUGAGCCUUGAUGUGUAGG
rnacentral:rRNA from 1 species